UGCUUUCUGGCUGUGCUGUGGGUCAUUCCAUGGAUGAGCAGGGUUCAUUUCGUAGAUCUGAUGGAUAAGUUGAUAUCCACUCCCUCUCUUAUUACUCUAUGUGCAUCCCUCUUGAUGUUGUCUAAUUGAUAAGAAAGGACCUUCCUUGAUAGAGAAGGACAAUUCUUCAGUCAGGAGCAUACAAGUAGCUGCAUGCCCUGGCUAUAACUACCACACUAGCUCAUAUCACACAUGCUUUCAGAGUUCCCUGGUAGAUUGUGUCU
rnacentral:sRNA from 1 species